rnacentral:rRNA from 1 species
UCGAGGGGCAGCACAGGUAGCAAUACCGGGUGGCGACCGGCGCACGGGUGAGUAACGCGUAUGCAACUUGCCUAUCAGAGGGGGAUAACCCGGCGAAAGUCGGACUAAUACCGCAUGAAGCAGGGGCCCCGCAUGGGGAUAUUUGCUAAAGAUUCAUCGCUGAUAGAUAGGCAUGCGUUCCAUUAGGCAGUUGGCGGGGUAACGGCCCACCAAACCGACGAUGGAUAGGGGUUCUGAGAGGAAGGUCCCCCACAUUGGUACUGAGACACGGACCAAACUCCUACGGGAGGCAGCAGUGAGGAAUAUUGGUCAAUGGGCGUAAGCCUGAACCAGCCAAGUCGCGUGAGGGAUGAAGGUUCUAUGGAUCGUAAACCUCUUUUAUAAGGGAAUAAAGUGCGGGACGUGUCCCGUUUUGUAUGUACCUUAUGAAUAAGGAUCGGCUAACUCCGUGCCAGCAGCCGCGGUAAUACGGAGGAUCCGAGCGUUAUCCGGAUUUAUUGGGUUUAAAGGGUGCGUAGGCGGCCUUUUAAGUCAGCGGUGAAAGUCUGUGGCUCAACCAUAGAAUUGCCGUUGAAACUGGGGGGCUUGAGUAUGUUUGAGGCAGGCGGAAUGCGUGGUGUAGCGGUGAAAUGCUUAGAUAUCACGCAGAACCCCGAUUGCGAAGGCAGCCUGCCAAGCCAUGACUGACGCUGAUGCACGAAAGCGUGGGGAUCAAACAGGAUUAGAUACCCUGGUAGUCCACGCAGUAAACGAUGAUCACUAGCUGUUUGCGAUACACAGUAAGCGGCACAGCGAAAGCGUUAAGUGAUCC